rnacentral:rRNA from 1 species
ACAUUUUUUUUAGUAAAAUUUUAAAGGUAAAUUUUGCUCAAUGAUUUAUUUUAAAUAGCUGCAGUAUUUUGACUGUACAAAGGUAGCAUAAUAAUUAGUUCAUUAAUUGUGAACUGGAAUGAAUGAAUAUAUGAAAUACUCUUUUUAUUUAUUUUAAAAUUAAAAUUUUAUUUUUAAGUUAAAAAGCUUAAUUGAUUUUUAGGGACGAUAAGACCCUAUAGAGGUUUAAUUAUUUUUAUAUAAUAAAUUUUUAUUGUUUAUGUUAUAAGAUUUUUAUGUUCUUAUUAUUUUUUCUGGGGCGGAAUAUAAAUUUAAACUUUAUUUUUUUUUUUCAUUUAUUUAUGAUUAUGUUGAUCCAUUUUUAAAUUGUUUUGAUUAUAAGAAAUAGCUACCUUAGGGAUAACAGCGUAAUUUCAAUGGGGAGUUCUUAUUUAUAUUGAAGUUUGCGACCUCGAUGUUGAAUUAAGAUUAGAUUUUGGGGUAGUUUUUAAUUUUCUAAGUCUGUUCAACUUUUAAAUUCUUACGUGAUCUG